rnacentral:lncRNA from 1 species
UUACCAUUAGCUUCUCGAUAAAUGUGUUUGAUCUCAUACUUUCAAUCUAUUUGAAUCAUGAGAAAUAACAAUUUAAGAAGAAGAAGAAAAAUUAACAAUUGAAAAUUAAAACUCUUUCAAAAAAAUGAUAAUGUUAAUACAAUAAGGGAAUCCAUCUCAACAAACAAAAAAGAGAAAUGAGAAAUUUAUGCUACUCGUUAUUCUCAAACCAUGGACUAGGUCCUAGUGCCCGGCCAAAUACAAGGUAUAUUGAGCAAAGUUAUAAGAAAAACCAAUAACAUUAAUUCCUUUAGAGUUCCUAAUGAGACUAUCACAAGUUGAAAGUCAUGUACUACUAUAUAUAGUAGAAUUAUUUGAUAUUGAGCUUGAAAAAAUGAGAGGGAUGAUGCUUCCAUUUCACGUUGAUUUCAUGCUUCCUCUGCUCGACAUAAUAUGAUGAAUGAAGAUUAUAUGAUGAAAAAAUUUAGGUAGCUCUAAAGAUUACUAAGAAAUUGCUCAUGAUUUAGAGUGUGUUUGGUUGUGAAGAGAGUGUGAGAAGAGAGAAAAAUGUAAGAAAGAGUGUGAAAAGAGACCUGAGAAAUAGAAUAGGUUUGAUGUAUUAUUUGGUAGAAAC